UACGGAGGAUCCGAGCGUUAUCCGGAAUUAUUGGGUUUAAAGGGUUCGUAGGCGGUUUAGUAAGUCAGUGGUGAAAUCUUAUAGCUCAACUAUAAAAUUGCCGUUGAUACUGCUAAACUUGAAUAGUAUGGAAGUAAUUAGAAUAUGUAGUGUAGCGGUGAAAUGCUUAGAUAUUACAUGGAAUACCAAUUGCGAAGGCAGAUUACUACGUACUUAUUGACGCUGAUGAACGAAAGCGUGGGUAGCGAACAGG
rnacentral:rRNA from 1 species